ACCAGAACACGAGCCAGAAAAGUGCCCAUGCUAUCCGUUUCUUCCUGGCAAGAUGGAGGUUGGAGGAAUCCCCUGUUCCAAUUGGCGAGCGAACCCAAAGAAAAUGGCCGAUUCGUCCAUAAAGUACUACAAAGGCGGGGUAGAUUUUCGGACCCAAUUUAGUGUUGUUGUUGCAAGAAGGAAAGACGCUGCAAAAAUCCAUUCCAAUUUCAGGGUCAGGAAUGUCAUCAACUAAGAUGAAAUAGUAAAUGCGCCAUAUCCAGAAGGAAGCUAUGAUGCAGCCCACGAUAGGCCAACCAGGUUUGGCUUUCAUUGUAUGUGGUUGCAUCUUGACCACGCAAACGUAACGGUCAUAUGCAAUCAGACACAAAAUGAGUGCAUUACUCAAGAUGGCGGCGCUUUGCAAAAACGGGAAGCUGACACAACCGAGCCGUCCAAAAUCCUAGCAUUCAAAUUUUGAACUUGAAAAGCAAACAUGACUUGCAAACGUGCUGCUGACAGUCAACAAGUCACUUAGAGCUAGAGCUCCAAUAAGGACAUUGGUUUUCGACCACGACGAUCUAUAUAUGGAUGUGCAGGUAAAGAUUAUGAAAUAACGGUAUUCCUAGAAAAUCAAGCCAGGUGGACUUACCUGCGAAUGCCAAUGGCGACGAGCAUGCGCACAUUGCUGAUACUGGCCCAAAUCAAACACCCGACAAACAGCACCGUCAUCGAUACUUUAAACCAUACGGGAAGCACAAUGACGUCACUGAGUGCCACAUAGCCAUCGAGUCCGAGUACGUCGACAAUAUCGCUGAUGUUGACAUCGGACAAUUCCCAAACCUGAUGCAAUCAUUGGGGAACAAACGAAUGCCAAAUACGUUGUAAUUAUUGAAAGAAAAAAAAAAGGGAAAAAGAAUUCAAGUUAUUCACCCAUUCGCCAUCGGUUUUGUUGAUUCUUGCGAAGGAUUCCCCAAGCGUGACCAUUCCAGGACGCUUCGGCUCGGAGCAACUGUCGGUCCACUGAACACAAUCAUCUCAUCAGGGACACACGGAGUGAAUCCGGAAGCGCGACUGAAACCACAUCGCCCGAUUUGACGUCUAAUACCAUUAUCCGUAAACUUUUGUCUCACUUUUUUUUUCGUGCGCAAGAUCACCCGUAUGGUGUCCUCGUGCGUCGUUUUACCGUUGAACGCACACAAACCACGUCAAAAGGAAACCAUGCGGGACCUAUUUAGCCGAUAACACUGUUUGUUUACGGCCUGAUUAACCAACGUGGAUUAUCAGUAAUUUUUUUUCUUCCAACUUGUGGCUAUUGAUUUGUUUUGUUUUUAGAUUUCGUGAAUUUUCUGAUCUUUUUUUUUUUUUAUUUGAAAUGUAUUGAGAUUGAUCGGCACAUUUGAAGCGAUUGGAACUUACGCGAAUGUUCCGUAAAAUAAUUAUGGGACCAAAAUUGAAAUAUAAUUAGGUCGCACAGUAAAAAAAAAAUAUUAAUAAUAAUAAUAACAGAAACACAGGAGAAUUUUGGAAAAAAAAAGAUUCC